rnacentral:rRNA from 1 species
GACGAACGCUGGCGGCGUGCUUAACACAUGCAAGUCGAACGGAAAGGCCCUGCUUUUGUGGGGUGCUCGAGUGGCGAACGGGUGAGUAACACGUGAGUAACCUGCCCUUGACUUUGGGAUAACUUCAGGAAACUGGGGCUAAUACCGGAUAGGAGCUCCUGCUGCAUGGUGGGGGUUGGAAAGUUUCGGCGGUUGGGGAUGGACUCGCGGCUUAUCAGCUUGUUGGUGGGGUAGUGGCUUACCAAGGCUUUGACGGGUAGCCGGCCUGAGGGGGUGACCGGCAACAUUGGGACUGAGAUACGGCCAAGACUCCUACGGGAGGCAGAGGUGGGGAAUAUGGAAAAAUGGGCGGAAGCCGAAUGCAGCAACGCCGCGUGCGGGAGGACGGCCUUCGGGUUGUAAACCGCUUUCGCCUGGGACGAAGCGUGAGUGACGGUAAUGGGUAAAGAAGCACCGGCUAACUACGUG